GGAGAUUCUCGAGUAUUGCGAGAUGCUUUGUCUCGUCAAAAUUGUCUCCAUAUACCAAAUGGUAAAUAUUUUCUUGUGGAUGCGGGGUAUACAAAUGGCCCUGGAUUUUUAGCACCUUAUCGAGGGACUAGAUAUCAUCUUAAUGAGUGGAUCGGAAACACUCCUCAAAACUAUAAGGAGUUAUUUAAUCUUCGUCAUGCAAGUGCAAGGAAUGUUAUUGAAAGGUCAUUUGGGGUAUUGAAGAAAAGAUGGAGUAUAUUAAGAACUCAUUCUUUUUUUGAUAUAAAAACACAAAUAAGAAUUAUUAAUGCUUGUUUCAUGCUACAUAAUUUCAUAAGAGAUGAACAACAAAGUGAUCCAAUUUUGGAAGCCCAAGACUUGGAACUUUUAUCUGUUGUUGACAAUGAGUUAAUCAAUCAACAAAUGGAAAGAGUCACAAAUAAUAUUGGAGAUGAAGUCACAACUAUCCAAGCAACUGAGGAAUGGACAAGAUUUCGUGAUACUUUAGCAAUGAAUAUGUUUGCCACCUAUCAAAUAAGAAGAAACUUUGAUUAGGGAGAUGUUUUUAGUGGAUUUGGAUUUUGUUUCUUAUGUGUAAUUGACUCUAUACUCAUGUAUGUGUGAUACUUUGGAUUUUUGUAUUUCAUAAUACUUUGGAUUUUGUUUU